rnacentral:tRNA from 1 species
UACAAUAUCGUCUAAUGGUUAAGACACUAAACUUUCAAUUUAGUAAUAGAAGUUCAAUUCUUUUUAUUGUAA